UCUUGAUCAGAUAACCCGUGAACUGACGUUGCGCUUUUUUUUUUCAAAUACUUCACAUGCCAUAUUGCUAUACGGUGAUUUAAUUCUGUGAGAUAAAAUUCCUUAAAAUCUCAUCUCUUGUAAUAGCGUUUUAGAAGGUAUACACAUGAUAAACUAGCAAAUUGUUCUGAAUUGAACCUUAGAUUUGGUACCGUUUCUCGUCAACAGUGGCUAACAGUUCGUUGCCCAAAGCCAAGGGUUCCAAUGAUCAAAUGAGGCAAGAGAUAGAACGCUGCUUUCUUUGGCAGCCAUUCCCGUGCAUGGAUAUGCAGGAUUUCUCUUAAAUCCUACAUUGAGAUGAGGCACGCACUGUUUCAGACGUCUAAAUAUCAACGGUCAAUCUCCUGGUUCUGUGUUUUAUUCAGUAAUAAAAUUCUUGGAAACACUUAUUUUGAAGCACAUUUUCUCCUUCAGUGACUUUAGAUGAUUCUUCCUGCAGUUCAGAGACAGAAACAGAAAUGUGUGCAUUGUCAUCUGCAAUUGAUCCUGCCAAAUUUUUUUGGAU